rnacentral:rRNA from 1 species
AUGGCGCUCGACUGCCGCAACGGCAUCAGCGGCUUCGUGCCAAUGAAGCGCGGCAAGGUCCCCGACACGACGGCUAUCGUGGUGGACUUCGGUGCCAUCCUCGCGGACUGUGCGCAGAGAUGCCCACGGGACUGCUCGUGCACGGCGUAUGCCAGCGCCAAGCUCAGCGGAACGCCAAGGACCAGCACGCUCGAGGACCUCCGUGUGUUCCCCAACUUCAGCCAGGAGCCCAGGACCUCUAUGUGCGCCUUCCGCUGCCGAUCUCGGAGGGUCACGGCCGAUGCUCGUCAGGAUCCAACCACACAACGAGCCAAAGGAUGCGCCAUGGAUUCACUGUCCGGUUUGUCAGUCUGGGUUCAUAAGGACAUAUUGAUGGACAAUUCUUAUGAUGGUAUAGCUGUAUAUGAAGUUCCAUAUACAUGGAUCCCCACUCAUCUGGUUGAGAUUCACCACUGA